rnacentral:rRNA from 1 species
AGCGCAGGCGGGAGAACAAGUUGGAAGUGAAAUCCAUGGGCUCAACCCAUGAACUGCUUUCAAAACUGUUUUUCUUUGAGUAGUGCAGAGGUAGGCGGAAUUCCCGGUGUAGCGGUGGAAUGCGUAGAUAUUAGGAGGAACACCAGUGGCGAAAGCGGCUUUCUGGACGACAACUGACGCUGAGGCGCGAAAGCCAGGGGAGCAAACGG